rnacentral:lncRNA from 1 species
AUGUACUCACAAUUUUGGUUCUCAGUAAAGGAGGAAGGUAUAAAAUGCCCCUAAUCAGUGGUCUUCAAGCCUCCUCCCACAGAUAAUCUUUCUUUUGUCAUAUAACAUAUCAUGAGAGUAAUUUCUCCUACACUUACCCACACUUACAUGAGAGGGGAUCAUACAAGGGUAAGAGUCAUUGGAGGUCAUCUUAGAAUCUGCCUACAACAUCAUUCAAAGUUUCUGUUUUGUGUGUCCUAGACACUUUUAUGGCCUUAAUAGCACUUUAUUUUAAAAGUAUGAACAGUGUAAAAUUGCAUCAGAAGCCAUAAAUUCCACAAGAGAACUAUUUAAAAUGUCUUUUAAAACUAACAUGUUUCAGUUGUUCAAAGUUAUCUGGAAAAUCUAUCAUUAGGCUGGUGCUCACUUUGCUGGUCUUUGUCUAAAACACAAUAUCAGGGAGGGAUUUUUCAGAGACAUUAUUUCUAUCACUGUGAAGUUACAAAAUCAGAAUAAAAACUAGGCUAGGGAGAAUAUUUUGAAAAUUUUUUAAGUUCAAAAAAUGCUAAGGUUUAACUUUUACAUAUUUGUAAACACAGGCAGGAAACCAAUUAUCCUGAGACUAAGAACAUCUGGAGCAAUAUAAGAAGAGUAUUAAGAAUGAUAGAAAACAACUCUAAUCAUAUACACACUAUCUAUAUUUUCUUGUACUCAGAAAUAAAUAUUCGUUAUGUUCAGUGAGCAUCUAAACUGUCUCUUGUUCCAUGAAAUCCACAACUGAAAUUCUUAACUCACCAGACUUCCUCUAGUUCAAAAUUCCAUUUUCCAAAUUCUAGCUCCCUUCCUAUCAAAGGUCUGAACAUUCACAAAAUUUAUAAAGUGGAGGCUUGCCAAUCCUAGAACUCAAAUUAAUGACUUAAGACCUUGUAGUAUGGACUUUGAAACAGACACCCCAUGUCAGACUUUGUAAAAACAUCAGGAGAGACACACCAACUUACGAAAAUGUGUCAGGUGAAAAUACAAUUCCUCUUAUUAAAAAAGACAAUGAUACAAACAGUGUGUUUUAUUAUGUGUCUGAACAUUCUAUUUGUUUAUAUCAGCAAUUGUAUGACAAAAGCAAGGUUUUGGAAUGCCAUUCUAGCUUCCAUUAUUUUGAAACAGAGGUUCUAAAACACCAGCCCAAAGCAUUCUUCAGAAAAGCAUGUCUAUCUAUGCCACAAUGGGGUGUCUGGAAGAGAAGGGAAAAUAUAGUAAAAAAAAAAAAAAAA